UGCAAGCCGAAUUUAGCUCUGCCAAGCCACGUGGACCGCAGCGGGCUCGGCAGAGGCCGAGCCUGGGAGACGCCGGAGGCGGCGGCUGCGGCGCGGGGACCUGAUCGGCGCCCCGAGAGGAGCUCCCCGCUCUCUGGACGCGGCCCUCAAGCUGGCGGGGCUAAGGAAGAGCGCCCGGGAGGCCCGGGAGCCACUGGGGUCCGUUUCAGCAGGAAGACGGGCACGCACCGAGAGGAUGGCAGUGCCCAGAAGAACUCGAGUCGGGGGCACGGUGGGGAGAAGGGGCCGAUCCCCUGCUGGCGACCGGGC
rnacentral:lncRNA from 1 species